rnacentral:rRNA from 1 species
UUUGGGGGGCAAGUUUGGUGCCAGCAGCCGCGGUAAUUCCAGCUUCAAUAGCGUAUAUUAAAGUUGUUGCAGUUAAAAAGCUCGUAGUUGAAUUUCGGGGUUAGUAGGUUGGUCGUGCCACUGGUAUGUACUGGUCUUACUGAUUCCUCCUUUCUGAAGAACUGUAAUGCCAUUAAUUUGGUGUUGCGGGAAACCAGGACUGUUACUUUGAAAAAAUUAAAGUGUUUAAAGCAGGAAA